rnacentral:rRNA from 1 species
UACGUAGGGUGCGAGCGUUAAUCGGAAUUACUGGGCGUAAAGCGUGCGCAGGCGGUUCGUUAUGUCUGAUGUGAAAGCCCCGGGCUCAACCUGGGAAUUGCAUUGGAAACUAGCGGGCUGGAGUGUGGCAGAGGGGGGUGGAAUUCCACGUGUAGCAGUGAAAUGCGUAGAUAUCGGAAGGAACAUCAGUGGCGAAAGCGGCUUCCUGGACCAGCACCGACGUUCAGGCACGAAAGCGUGGGGAGCAAACAGG